GGGUGGUUAGCUCAGUGGUGGAGCGCUGCCUUCACAUGGCAGAGGUCACUGGUUCAAAUCCAGUACUACCCACCA
rnacentral:tRNA from 1 species